rnacentral:rRNA from 1 species
CCCGGGCUAAAUCCUGAUUUGAUACCCCGAAACGGGUAGUUCUCUUCGGAGCGGUCAGGAAGGUGCUGCAUGGCUGUCGUCAGCUCGUGCCGUGAGGUGUUGCCUUAAGUGGCGCAACGAGCGCAACCCCUAUGGUUAGUUACCAGCACGUAAUGGUGGGGACUCUAGCCAGACUGCCUACGCAAGUAGUGAGGAAGGUGGGGACGACGUCAAGUCAUCAUGGCCCUUAUGUCCGGGGCUGCACACGUGCUACAAUGGACGGUACAGAGGGAANCCACCCAGCGAUGGGGCGCAAAUCUCNAAAGCCGUUCCCAGUUCGGAUUGGAGUCUGCA